rnacentral:misc_RNA from 1 species
AACACUGUUAACCUGCGGUACCUGCGGAGGGAUCAUUACCGAGUUUACAACUCCCAAACCCCUGUGAACAUACCUAUAUGUUGCCUCGGCGGAUCAGCCCGCGCCCCGUAAAACGGGACGGCCCGCCGCAGGAUCCACAAACUCUGUUUUUAUUGUAACUUCUGAGUAACAAAACAAAUAAAUCAAAACUUUCAACAACGGAUCU